GGCCUUUCGGAGCUGUGCGGCACGCUGAGCAGGAAUGGCAAUGUGGACCUCUGUGAUGGGACAUCUUGUGGGAUCUCACAGCCAGUUCUGUGGCAAAGGAGGAUGAAGGCUUACGAGGACUCGUCAGGAAGCUGGAUAACAGAACAAGUGCAAUGUGCUAGAAGACCAGAAAAUGAAAUGGUGGAGUUUGAGGCUGGAUAGACAGUUUGAAAGGUAAGUAUUGAAAAACACUUGAAUUUGGGUCAGUACAAAGGGACAUGCAGAGACUUUGAAUCAUCAAAACUCCAGCAUGCAUUGUCCUACGGAUGUUUAGAUAGGUGUGUUUUGGAUAACACACGGGGUUCUUGUAAUGAUGUUGAUCAAAUGUCUGAGCUGAAAAUAACUUGUAGACAAUUUUUAACACUGAAGAACCCUGUGGCAGGCAACUAAGAAUAGUCGAAUGAUGUUUAGCAUAUUUGUAAGAGGUAUUUUCUUUUAAUUCUAGUUAACUGUGGUUGCAUGCUUGUUCAUUUGGCUGGCUUGCUUGGGUACAAAUGAUGGUUUGAAUAAAGGUAUAACGCACGGGUCGCCUCAAGUGAAGGCACUGCAAACAAAAU
ensembl:processed_transcript Gas5 growth arrest specific 5